UACGUAGGGUGCGAGCGUUAAUCGGAAUUACUGGGCGUAAAGCGUGCGCAGGCGGUUUUGUAAGCCAGAUGUGAAAUCCCCGGGCUUAACCUGGGAAUGGCAUUUGGGACUGCAAGGCUGGAGUGUGGGCAGAGGAGACUGGAAUUCCUGGUGUAGCAGUGAAAUGCGUAGAUAUCAGGAGGAAUACCGAUGGCGAAGGCAGGUCUCUGGGCUGACACUGACGCUCAUGCACGAAAGCGUGGGGAGCGAACAAAGGAUU
rnacentral:rRNA from 1 species